GCUGAGCUCAGUAGCGUGAGCUUGUGACCCGAGCGGGGGCAUCAAGGUGGUCGGACAUUAAUUUGAUCCGACGGGUAGGGUCUGUUGAUGCUUUGAUCUGGUUCGCCCGUUCCAAGUAAGGAGUUGGGCCACGCGACUCGGGCGAAAGCUCGGGUUUCAUGGCACUUAGAGUGGAGGGCACCGCGUCAGGCUGGUUUCACAGAGCAGCGACAACCUCUCGCUCCCGUCGGUGGAAGGAUAACGAAUCGGUGCCUCGCUGUCCCACUGAUGCCUUAGGAGACGAGUUCAAUCGGACGGCCACCUUU
rnacentral:SRP_RNA from 1 species